rnacentral:rRNA from 1 species
GACGAACGCUGGCGGCAUGCCUAACACAUGCAAGUCGAACGAGACCUUCGGGUCUAGUGGCGCACGGGUGCGUAACGCGGGGGAACCUGCCCGUGGGUUCGGAAUAACUCCCCGAAAGGGGUGCUAAUACCGGAUAAUGUCUUCGGGCCAAAGAUGUAUGGCCUUGGGAUGGGGCCGCGUUGGAUUAGCUGGUUGGUAGGGGAAAAGCCUACCUAGGCGACGAUCCAUAGCUGGUCUGAGAGGAUGAUCAGCCACACUGGGACUGAGACACGGACCAGACUCGUACGGGAGGGAGCAGUGGGGAAUAUUGGACGCUGGGCGAAAGCCUGAUCCAGCCAUGCCGGGUGAGUGAUGAAGGGGUUAGGGUUGUAAAUCCCUUUUAGCCGGGAUGAUAAUGACAGUACCGGGAGAAUAAGCUCCGGCUAACUACGUG